rnacentral:tRNA from 1 species
GGGCCGAUAGUCUAGCGGUAUGACGUUUGCUUGACGUGCAAAGGGCAGAGAGCGUAUACGCUCUGCUUAGCAACAGGUCGGGGGUUCAAUUCCCUCUCGGCCCA